rnacentral:lncRNA from 1 species
GUGUCGCACAACUGUCGCCGACGAGCGGAUGGGACGGUGCGUCGGUCGCGUCGCUAAACGUCAACGAUCACGGUUCAAAGGACGAUAAAGCUCCACUGACCAGUCCCCUGGAACACUCUGCCGACCGCUCCACCUCACUGGGGCAAUUGAGCCAGCUCAGCCAGCUAAGCCUGUUUGAGCAAGGGUGGAAGCUGUUCGAUAAGACCAGGUCCACUACCUCGUUGAAUAGGCACAGUGGGUCCACUAAAGACGAGCCGCCUUCGCCGAGAGAUAAUCAUUCGCCAAGCAAAUGGAACAGCGGGUCGCGCAAGACGCUGUCCCCGCGCGGCCCGACAGCCGACUCGGACUCGUUCUGCACGCGCACGCUCGACCACCUGCAGCACAAGAAGCCCGCCACCGUCGACCCGCCACAGC